CUUAACAAUUUGAAGACCCAUGGAAUUUGAAAUUUGCCCUCACCCCCCCCCCAAAAAAAAGACCCGUUAACAUUAGCUUGUAGCUAGCAAUCAUCAACUGGCUAGCUGCUGGGUGGAGAGAGGUAGCAAGGUAGACUAGUUGGACUCAAUGGAAACGUUUCCAAUUACGCCAUCUUGGUCGUCAUAGAUGUCAGAGAACACAGGUGAUAGGCAACAACUGGACUGAAAGGACACAAAGCUCAUCAGCACUUGGCAUGAAUUCCCCAGGGGGGCUCCACACGCAUGCGCACGAACGUGUAUGCAGCCACACAGGGCAGUGUCGGCCUCCUGCAUGGAAGGUAAAAGGACAUCACACCAGAGGAAGGCAACACAGUUGAGAGGAAGACUCAUGGGAAGCAGCAUCACCACAGCUGGAUUAACAUGGCUGAGGUUGAAUUUUAACAUUAAUUGGACACUCUAAAUUGCCCCUAGGUGUGAUUGCGAGUGUGGCUGUUUGUCUCUAUGUGCCCUGCGAUUGGCUGGCAACCAGUUCAGGGUGUACCCCGAAUCCUGCCUGUUGACAGCUGGGAUAGGCUCCAGCACACCCCGCGACCCUUGUGAGGGUAAGUGGCAAGGAAAAUGGAUGGAUGGAUAAUAUGGUAUAAGUUAAUUAAUAACGUAACCAAUAAUAUUUACUUGAU